GGGUUGUGAGGUUAAGCGACUAAGCGUACACGGUGGAUGCCCUGGCAGUCAGAGGCGAUGAAGGACGUGCUAAUCUGCGAAAAGCGUCGGUAAGGUGAUAUGAACCGUUAUAACCGGCGAUGUCCGAAUGGGGAAACCCAGUGUGAUUCGUCACACUAUCGUUAACUGAAUACAUAGGUUAACGAGGCGAACCGGGGGAACUGAAACAUCUAAGUACCCCGAGGAAAAGAAAUCAACCGAGAUUCCCCCAGUAGCGGCGAGCGAACGGGGAGCAGCCCAGAGUCUGAAUCAGCUUGUGUGUUAGUGGAACGGUCUGGAAAGUCCGACGGUACAGGGUGAUAGUCCCGUACACCAAAAUGCACAGGCUGUGAACUCGAAGAGUAGGGCGG
rnacentral:rRNA from 1 species